UACGUAGGGUGCAAGCGUUGUUCGGAAUCAUUGGGCGUAAAGCGCGUGUAGGCGGUUGGCUAAGUCCGGUGUGAAAUCCCGGGGCUUAACUCAGGAAGUGCAUUGGAUACUGGCCAGCUAGAGGACGGGAGAGGAAAGCGGAAUUCCUGGUGUAGGGGUGAAAUCCGUAGAUAUCAGGAGGAAUGCCGGAGGCGAAGGCGGCUUUCUGGUCCGUUUCUGACGCUGAGACGCGAAAGCGUGGGUAGCAAACAGG
rnacentral:rRNA from 1 species